UACGUAGGGUCCGAGCGUUUGUCCGGAAUUACUGGGCGUAAAGCGCGCGCAGGCGGCCCGCGAGGUGUCACGUGAAAGCCCCGGGCUCAACCCGGGAGGGUCGUGGCAAACCGGCGGCUUUGAGGCCGGUAGAGGUGGGGUGGAACUCCUGGUGGAGUGGUGAAAUGCGUAGAGAUCAGGAAGAACACCCCGUGGCGAAGGCGGGCCCAACUGG
rnacentral:rRNA from 1 species